rnacentral:rRNA from 1 species
UACAGAGGGUGCAAGCGUUAAUCGGAAUUACUGGGCGUAAAGCGUGCGCAGGCGGUUUUGUAAGUCUGACGUGAAAUCCCCGGGCUCAACCUGGGAAUUGCGUUGGAGACUGCAAGGCUAGAAUCUGGCAGAGGGGGGUAGAAUUCCACGUGUAGCAGUGAAAUGCGUAGAUAUGUGGAGGAACACCGAUGGCGAAGGCAGCCCCCUGGGUCAAGAUUGACGCUCAUGCACGAAAGCGUGGGGAGCAAACAGG